UCCCCGGUGGUCCAGUGGUUAAGACUCCGAGCUUCCAAUACAGGGGGCCUGGGUUCAGUUCCUGGUUGGGGAA
rnacentral:tRNA from 1 species